AGCGGCGGACGGGUGAGUAACGCGUGGGUAACCUGCCUUAUACAGGGGGAUAACAGUUAGAAAUGACUGCUAAUACCGCAUAAGCGCACAGUACCGCAUGGUAGUGUGUGAAAAACUCCGGUGGUAUAAGAUGGACCCGCGUCUGAUUAGCCAGUUGGCGGGGUAACGGCCCACCAAAGCGACGAUCAGUAGCCGACCUGAGAGGGUGACCGGCCACAUUGGGACUGAGACACGGCCCAGACUCCUACGGAAGGCAGCAG
rnacentral:rRNA from 1 species